rnacentral:rRNA from 1 species
UGCAGUCGAACGUGAAAGCACUUCGGUGUGAGUAGAGUGGCGGACGGGUGAGUAACGCGUGGGAAUCUACCCAGUAGUGGGGGACAACAUGUGGAAACGCAUGCUAAUACCGCAUACGCCCUAUGGGGGAAAGGCUUCGGCCGCUAUUGGAUGAGCCCGCGUCAGAUUAGCUAGUUGGUAGGGUAAAGGCCUACCAAGGCAACGAUCUGUAGCUGGUCUGAGAGGACGAACAGCCACACUGGGACUGAGACACGGCCCAGACUCCUACGGGAGGCAGCAGUGGGGAAUAUUGGACAAUGGGCGAAAGCCUGAUCCAGCAAUGCCGCGUGUGUGAAGAAGGCCUGCGGGUUGUAAAGCACUUUCAGUUGGGAAGAUGAUGACGUUACCAACAGAAGAAGCACCGGCUAAAUCCGUGCCAGCAGCCGCGGUAAUACGGAUGGUGCGAGCGUUAAUCGGAAUUACUGGGCGUAAAGCGCGCGUAGGCGGCUAAGUCAGUCAGAAGUGAAAGCCCCGGGCUCAACCUGGGAAUUGCUUUUGAUACUGCUUAGCUAGAGUUUGGUAGAGGAUAGUGGAAUUCCAGGUGUAGCGGUGAAAUGCGUAGAUAUCUGGAGGAACAUCAGUGGCGAAGGCGACUGUCUGGACCAAAACUGACGCUGAGGUGCGAAAGCGUGGGUAGCAAACAGGAUUAGAUACCCUGGUAGUCCACGCCGUAAACGAUGUCAACUAGCCGUCGGGUCUAUUUACAGACUUGGUGGCGAAGCUAACGCGAUAAGUUGACCGCCUGGGGAGUACGGCCGCAAGGUUAAAACUCAAAGGAAUUGACGGGGGCCCGCACAAGCGGUGGAGCAUGUGGUUUAAUUCGAUGCAACGCGAA